rnacentral:misc_RNA from 1 species
GUGAAUCAUCGAAUUUUUGAACGCAUAUUGCACUCUCUGGUAUUCCGGAGAGUAUGCCUAUUUGAGGGUCAUUUGUAAUAAUAUAAUUUCCAAGGUUUCUCUGACUUUAUAAUGGGUUGUCCAUUUUUUGUGGUAGCUUAAAAUCGAAGACGAGCGCAUUUUCCUGGUUUGCGUGAUACUUUUAGUUACCUCGCGACUUAACCAUGAAUCAUCGAGCGUGUUAUGAAUUUUGCAACAGUUAAAAAGUUCCAAAGAUUUAUCUCAUGGGAAAUAGUAAUCGAAUCAUGAACUCAAU